UGGAGGCAGGAGACCUGGCGUGCGGGUGGGCGGGCGAGGCUGGCUCGGAGGGUCCGGCUCUGGAGAGCCGCCCUUUUCCCGUGCUCGGGAAAGGAGGCCAGACUCGCUUGCAGGAAUGAGGCACUGUCGGCUGCGGAGCCACACGGACCCCGGGCUGAGGACUCAGGAAGAAGCCGAGGGUCAGCACCUGCUUGUGGAGCAAGGCCCUGACGCCAACUCCCAGGGCUGGUGAGGACCAGGCUGGCCUGCGGGAUGCCCUCCCGGCCAGCGAGGAUCCGCCAGCUGAGCUAGCGCAGUGCAGCUCCAGAGACACUCAUCUGACCCAGGCCGGACCUACCCUUGAGGCCCAGUCAGAUCCACCUCACCUGGGCCCUGUACUGAGGUGAAGACAGCCCAGAGGAGGGAGAGGCACUCACAGUGCACAUCACGCCUGAACAAGAAGGAACAAAGCACAGAGGCAGGGUGCUGUGACCCCCACUGGCCUGCGGUGCCCCCACGUCCUUCCAGGCCCAGCGGGGCUUCCUGGUGUUCUGGACUCUCUUCAUGGACAAAAAGCCCAGGCCAGGGAGCAGGAGGCCUGCCAGCCCAACCCACACCUUGAGGUGGAAUUUGGAAUCACCCUGACCUAGAGGGCCAAGAGUUCGUGUCCUGACACCUGCCUCCAAGAGACAUGUGCCUCCUCUGCUGCCCAGCCCUGCAGGGGUGAUAAGGGUUCCCAUGGACUCUGACCUGGGGCGUGGAGCCUGCUCUGCUCACCUGAUUCCAUGUGUGCCAUGCCUACCCUCCAACUCCAACGUUCAUCUGAACUGAUGUUCAACCACCACAAACUACUGGAGUAGAACAGGCCAUUCCUUCAUUCAUUCAUUCAGCAAGUACUCCCUGAACAUUUGCUGUUGCCCAGUCACGGUGCAGGCUUGGGUUCAACACUCGCUUGUUCAGUCAACAAACAUUGAUUGAGUGCCUACUGUGUGCUGCAUUUAUCUGAGGUGAUGGGGGUAGAGCAGUGGCCUAAACAAUGCCCCCCCUGGGCUGGACAAGGUGGCUCACACCUGUAAUCCCAACACUUUGGGAGGCUGAGGCGGGCGAAUC